UGCCAAUGCUCUGGGGCAACAUUGCGGAACAGAAACCGCUAAAGUGAGGCAUGUAUCAUAGAAUCGUAUGUGAUUUAUGCGAAUUUCGACACAUUGGAAUUUUUUUUGGAAAAGCAUCUAUUUAGAAGUCUUUUGCCAAGCUUCUUGUUCAAUUGAUGUUAGAGGUCAGGGUACUAUCGGCUAGAUGUGCGAAAAUGCAGUGCAGUCAGGUAAACAAAUUCUGGGAUCUAGACAUUCGUGAAAUCACCGCGGAUGU
rnacentral:sRNA from 12 species